ensembl:snRNA U4 U4 spliceosomal RNA
AGCUCUGCACAGCGGCAGUAUCAUAGCCAAUGAGGUUUAUCCGAGGCGUGAUCAUUGCUAACUGAAAACUUUUCCCAAUUACCACCCCCUGCCCCGGCCCCCAGUGACGACUUGCAACAGAGUUGACAUUGGCAAUUUUUGACAGUCUCUACGGAGA